AAAAAAAACUCGAAUCUCUCUGUAACUCUAUCGCCCUAAGCUUGAUGACAGAAGAAACAUAGCAGAAACAGGAUUAAAGCCCAAAUCCAUAGGUUAAAGCACAAGAUACAUCAAAGUUUCAAUUCCAGACAAUCUUGCCUAGUAAAAGUUCAAAUUUUUUUUUACAUCUCUGCAGCCAAAAUCUAUGCUAAAGUUCCAUUUCUGAUGUUGAAGUUACCAAACUCGUAUAAUUUCACAGAAAUAAAAUCAAAGAAUUGGAAACAUACCACAAAAGGAAACUUGAACUAACCUGUACAU
rnacentral:misc_RNA from 1 species